CGAAGGUGCAAAACAGAGGUCACGGCCGCACGGCCGGGGCUCGUCGACGGCGGCCAGGAAAGAAAGCCGCCGCUGGGCCACGGGGAGAAUAGAGUGGAUUCUAUAUUCCCAAUGGAGUCUGGGUGGGAGGGGGAGAGAGUCCGGCGCCGACGCAUCGCAGUUGGUCUUGGUCUCUCCGGGAUCCGGCAGUUCUCUUCUCCCUGACUCCACUGAUGAUGCAACUCUGUCUUAACGAAGUACCAAAGCAGAGCUGCAGCAGUGGAGAUCAUUGACUAAGGAUGGGGACUUUGAGGCUUUCGACGAUAUGCUAUCCAAGAUGAAAUCUACGGCUUCUUCUCUACUGCGGCAGUCCAGGAGGACGGUUUCUUAGUGUUUCCGAGAUUCGUUUGGCUGGCCUGCGUGCCUUGAUAGGCUGGAUGCCUUGUACCCAUACUCUCUAUUCGUGCUGUGUUAAACUUAUGUGGUUUAGUCUGGUGGUUGUGACUCUGCCUGGUGGCUUUAUCUAUAAAGUCGGG